GAGAAGUGAAAAUGUGCGCGCGUGGGCUUUAAGAGGCUGACAUAAAAUGCUUUACGCAAAAAAGCUUCGAGCAAAACAAACGUAUACUUCACACGCGCGCUAGAGGGCCCUCAACGUCGCCGCACAUGUUGGCCGUGGACUUUAAGUCGAGCCGCAGCCGGAGGGUUGAAGGAUAAAUGCCAACGGCGGCGAAUUGUAAAAGUGCCUGCAGCAUAAUCUUAAACCGCAGGUAAAUAUUUCACAAGAAUAUGUGAGCCUUAUCAAAGCACAAUGUACACAUACACGCGACUAAAAGGGUAUAUACUCCUCGUACGCACAUUUAAAAAUGAACGAGCAACCGCUUGAAAUAUCACUCAUACGCCAGAGUGGCUAAGUGGCCGACAGCGGUGAAAUCUUGACCGUAGCGAUUCGGUGUUGACGGCGAACGUCAAAGGAGUUGCGUAAUUCAGAACAUCUCGCGACUUAUGGAUGCAAAUUAUGUUCUUUACAGUAACCUAAAAAUCUCCAUCUUGGCCAAAAAACGGAGUUAAAUCUGCGAUUAUUUUUUUUUUUACAACUUUCGACGUGAAUUAACUUAUCAACAGUGCAUCGAUGAACUUAAUUCUAUUUUUGGCAUCAGCGAAGAUAUGGAGAUUUUUCUCGAGGCCGUAGAUCUCUUUAAGGGUAAAAAGGCUCUUUGAUUGGUCAAACAAGAGUAAACAAAAUACGAUAGCGGUUCGAUCGUGAUUUGCGCUUACGAUCCCGAAAGUAAACAGCAGCCGACUGCAUGUGUGUCAAAAAAUGAGAACCGCCAGAUACUGAUCACUAUUUACAACGACAAUGUCAAAAUCCCCAUAUCAAGUGAAACAAUCAUUUCCUGUAUAUAAAAAAUAAACUAUGAGGUUAACGUUUUUCGACACCUAAAGAGGCGACUGCUGCGAAUGAUGAACGCAUAUCAGAGUAAAAAAGUUCCUUCGACAAUUGGCUCAAACGCACGCUAAGGUGAAUAA